rnacentral:rRNA from 1 species
GAUGAACGCUGGCGGCGUGCCUAAUACAUGCAAGUCGAGCGAACAGAUAAGGAGCUUGCUCCUUUGAAGUUAGCGGCGGACGGGUGAGUAACACGUGGGUAACCUACCUAUAAGACUGGGAUAACUUCGGGAAACCGGAGCUAAUACCGGAUAACAUUUAGAACCGCAUGGUUCUAAAGUGAAAGAUGGUUUUGCUAUCACUUAUAGAUGGACCCGCGCCGUAUUAGCUAGUUGGUAAGGUAACGGCUUACCAAGGCGACGAUACGUAGCCGACCUGAGAGGGUGAUCGGCCACACUGUAACUGAGCCACGGUCCAGACUCCUACGGGAGGCAGCAGUAGGGAAUCUUCCGCAAUGGGCGAAAGCCUGACGGAGCAACGCCGCGUGAGUGAUGAAGGGUUUCGGCUCGUAAAACUCUGUUAUUAGGGAAGAACAAAUGUGUAAGUAACUGUGCACAUCUUGACGGUACCUAAUCAGAAAGCCACGGCUAACUACGUG